UUCUCCCAUUGGUUAUUAAGAUGUUUUUGCUCAGUUUCAACUCACAGUGUCAAUUUUACAGUCUGGGACUACCUUGCAAAAUAAGGGUUUCUUGUAUACAAAAAUUUAGCAUAAAUUGAUAAAUAUGUGAAAAGGUAGCAUUUCAAAUCAAUGGUAAAGGAUAGGUGCUUCAAAAAAGGAAGCUGAAGGAAUGGGCUAAGGAUCUGGGGAAUCCUUAGCUGUUGUUCAUUUCAACAGCUUGUAUGUGGUAAAGCCAGGAUAUGAAUACAGGCAAGCUGACUGUGGAGAAUGUGCUCUUAACUAGUAUACAUACUAUAUUGCCUUCCCAUGGUAUAUAUAUCCAGCAUAUAGCUUCUUCCAUAGAGAUUUUUAAUUCAUAAAAAUUAGAAUUUCUUAUAUUAGGAAAGAACAUAUAUGAAAUUAAAUGGCAAAGUACAGACUGGGAAAACAUAUUUGCGACACCUGGCGUAACAGACAAAGGGGUUAAUUAAUAUACAUGAUAUAGCACCUUAGUUACUAUGUCGACUGGCUUUGGAGCUGGCAGACCACCAUCUUCCGCCACCACCACCUAGCUCCAUGCCUUAUUACCUACAUGACUUGGGGCAAGUUACUCAAUUCAUCUUUCCCCUAGGUUUCUCAUCUGGGAAUGGGCAAAACAAUAGUACUUACUUACUUUAUAGAAUUGUUGAGAAGAUAAAACAAGAUAAUAGAUAAACAGCACUUAGCACACUACUUUGCUGUGCUUUUUAUUUUUGUACUACGCAUAGAAUGUUACAUCAAUAAAAAGUAUAAUGAAACCAACAGAAAACUGGACAAAAUAUAUAAAGGGCAGUUCAUAAAGAAGAAACACAACUGCUCAACAUAGCAAAUAAAGCAAUGCAGUUAAAAUAACAAUCAUACCAUUUUCAGCACAUUAAAUUGUCAAAAAUAUUUUUAAGAUUAAUGCCCAAGGUUGGUGAGAGUUUAGGAACUAGACACUACAGGGAGUGAAAUUUGAUAAAUCCUGGCAAUUGGGCAGGAUACAACUGGCAAUUUGGCAGUUUGAUAAAGUGAUUUUUAGGGUUAUUUUAAGGAAAUGAUCAAAUAGGUAUGUAAGGAUAUAUGCAUGAAGAUGUUUAUUAUAACACU